rnacentral:tRNA from 1 species
GGCUCGUUCGUCUAGCGGUUUUAGGACGCCGGUUUUUCAAGCCGGUAACAGGGGUUCGAUUCCCCUACGAGCUA